rnacentral:rRNA from 1 species
GACGAACGCUGGCGGCGUGCUUAACACAUGCAAGUCGAACGGAAAGGCCCUGCUUUUGUGGGGUGCUCGAGUGGCGAACGGGUGAGUAACACGUGAGUAACCUGCCCUUGACUUUGGGAUAACUUCAGGAAACUGGGGCUAAUACCGGAUAGGAGCUCCUGCUGCAUGGUGGGGGUUGGAAAGUUUCGGCGGUUGGGGAUGGACUCGCGGCUUAUCAGCUUGUUGGUGGGGUAGUGGCUUACCAAGGCUUUGACGGGUAGCCGGCCUGAGAGGGUGAACGGCCACAUUAGGACUGAGAUACGGCCCAGACUCCUACGGGAGGCAGCAGUGGGGAAUAUUGCAAAAUGGGCGGAAGAAUGAUGCAGCAACGCAGCGUGCGGGAUGACGGACUUCGGGUUGUAAACCGAUUUCGCCUGUGACGAAGCGUGAGUGACGGUAAUGGGUAAAGAAGAACCGGCUAACUACGUG